AUUCUCUUCUAUAUAUAGCCACCCUUAUAACAUCCCACUUUUACCAUAAUAAAGAUCAUCACGUAGCCUGAUCUUUCCGUUUUUCCUCUCUAUUUGGGUGAUAGGUAGAGAUAAGGCCAGUACUAUCAAGAAUGCGUAUUCUAGUGCUUAUUAUUUUAGUGUUGAUGAUGGUGGCGCCUAGCCUAGCCAUGUCUAGACAAGGUAUAUACAUGGCUGAAAUACACGAACAGAAGCGGCAGUUAGACGAAAAUGAAGAGGACACUGCUGGGAGUUCCAAUUAUGAGCACCGCACAAACAGUGAGGGAAAUCACCAUAUUAUCCCUAGAAAGGAUUUCGGCAAAUAUAUGGGCAAUAAUGACAAUAAUGGAAAUGGAAGUGGGUAACCUUACUUGGCAUGCAUGGUGUUGGCUUGGGUGUGUGUUUUGAGAUAUUAUGAGUAAUAUAUCUAUAAGUUAUAUUUAUAUACGCUAGCUUGUUGUUUAUGAGUGAUUGUUUGUUCAUGUACGUAAGUCCAUGCAUGGUUGGUGUAUUUAUAAAUCUAUGCUCAUAUGGAUUUGAAUUAUGACUUGUACUUGCAUGGAAA